UACGUAGGGGGCUAGCGUUGUCCGGAUUUAUUGGGCGUAAAGAGCGUGUAGGCGGCCAGAUAGGUCUGCUGUGAAAACUCGAGGCUCAACCUCGAGAUGUCGGCGGAAACCAUUUGGCUAGAGUCCGGAAGAGGAAAGUGGAAUUCCUGGUGUAGCGGUGAAAUGCGCAGAUAUCAGGAAGAACACCCGUGGCGAAGGCGGCUCUCUGGACCAUAACUGACGCUGAGACACGAAAGCGUGGGUAGCAAACAGG
rnacentral:rRNA from 1 species